CAAACCCUCGGUAUAAAUAUUUGAUUUGUAAUCUAUUUACAUAAAUACAUCUUGUUAAAAAUAUAUGAAUUGUUUUGUUUGUUUACCGAAAUUCGGUGCCUACGUGUCUGUAAACACGGACGUUUCACAAAAAAAAUUCGAGGCUGCACGGCCUAUUUUCUAAUCUUCGACCUCCAUCAAUGCCACGAAAAUCUCACUGGCGUCGCAGACAUCUAUCCAGGGGGACUUCUCUGCAACAGGGCAAUAUACAGAAUUAUAUUUUAUUUUUAUUUUGAUCUGUACAUAAUUACCUUAAAUAUAUUUACUAUUAACCAUA